rnacentral:rRNA from 1 species
AUUGAACGCUGGCGGCAGGCCUAACACAUGCAAGUCGAGCGGAAACGAGUUGUCUGAACCUUCGGGGAACGAUAACGGCGUCGAGCGGCGGACGGGUGAGUAAUGCCUAGGAAAUUGCCCUGAUGUGGGGGAUAACCAUUGGAAACGAUGGCUAAUACCGCAUGAUGCCUACGGGCCAAAGAGGGGGACCUUCGGGCCUCUCGCGUCAGGAUAUGCCUAGGUGGGAUUAGCUAGUUGGUGAGGUAAGGGCUCACCAAGGCGACGAUCCCUAGCUGGUCUGAGAGGAUGAUCAGCCACACUGGAACUGAGACACGGUCCAGACUCCUACGGGAGGCAGCAGUGGGGAAUAUUGCACAAUGGGCGCAAGCCUGAUGCAGCCAUGCCGCGUGUGUGAAGAAGGCCUUCGGGUUGUAAAGCACUUUCAGUUGUGAGGAAGGCGGUGUAGUUAAUAGCUGCAUCGUUUGACGUUAGCGACAGAAGAAGCACCGGCUAACUCCGUGCCAGCAGCCGCGGUAAUACGGAGGGUGCGAGCGUUAAUCGGAAUUACUGGGCGUAAAGCGCAUGCAGGUGGUUUGUUAAGUCAGAUGUGAAAGCCCGGGGCUCAACCUCGGAAUUGCAUUUGAAACUGGCAGACUAGAGUACUGUAGAGGGGGGUAGAAUUUCAGGUGUAGCGGUGAAAUGCGUAGAGAUCUGAAGGAAUACCGGUGGCGAAAGCGGCCCCCUGGACAGAUACUGACACUCAGAUGCGAAAGCGUGGGGAGCAACAGG